AACGAACGCUGGCGGCAGGCUUAACACAUGCAAGUCGAACGCGUGUAGCAAUACACGAGUGGCGCACGGGUGAGUAACGCGUGGAUAUCUGCCUUUUGGUUCGGAAUAACUCCGGGAAACUGGAGCUAAUACCGGAUGGUUCCUACGGGAUAAAGAUUUAUCGCCAAAAGAUGAGUCCGCGUACGAUUAGCUAGUUGGUGAGGUAAUGGCUCACCAAGGCGACGAUCGUUAGCUGGUCUGAGAGGACGAUCAGCCACACUGGGACUGAGACACGGCCCAGACUCCUACGGGAGGCAGCAGUGGGGAAUAUUGGACAAUGGGGGCAACCCUGAUCCAGCCAUGCCGCGUGAGUGAUGAAGGCCUUCGGUUGUAAGACUCUUUUGGUCGGGGACGGAUGAUGACGGUACCCGCCAGAAUAAGCCCCGGCUAACUUCGUGCCAGCAGCCG
rnacentral:rRNA from 1 species